GGCGGCCUACACAUGCAAGUCGAGCGGUAGCACAAAGGAGCUUGCUCCUUGGGUGACGAGCGGCGGACGGGUGAGUAAUGUCUGGGAAACUGCCUGAUGGAGGGGGAUAACUACUGGAAACGGUAGCUAAUACCGCAUAACGUCGCAAGACCAAAGAGGGGGACCUUCGGGCCUCUUGCCAUCGGAUGUGCCCAGAUGGGAUUAGCUAGUAGGUGAGGUAAAGGCUCACCUAGGCGACGAUCCCUAGCUGGUCUGAGAGGAUGACCAGCCACACUGGAACUGAGACACGGUCCAGACUCCUACGGGAGGCAGCAGUGGGGAAUAUUGCACAAUGGGCGCAAGCCUGAUGCAGCCAUGCCGCGUGUGUGAAGAAGGCCUUCGGGUUGUAAAGCACUUUCAGCGGGGAGGAAGGGAGCAGRCUUAAUACGUCUGUUCAUUGACGUUACCCGCAGAAGAAGCACCGGCUAACUCCGUGCCAGCAGCCGCGGUAAUACGGAGGGUGCAAGCGUUAAUCGGAAUGACUGGGCGUAAAGCGCACGCAGGCGGUCUGUUAAGUUGGAUGUGAAAUCCCCGGGCUUAACCUGGGAACUGCAUUCAAAACUGACAGGCUAGAGUCUCGUAGAGGGGGGUAGAAUUCCAGGUGUAGCGGUGAAAUGCGUAGAGAUCUGGAGGAAUACCGGUGGCGAAGGCGGCCCCCUGGACGAAGACUGACGCUCAGGUGCGAAAGCGUGGGGAGCAAACAGGAUUAGAUACCCUGGUAGUCCACGCUGUAAACGAUGUCGAUUUGGAGGUUGUGGUCUUGAACCGUGGCUUCCGGAGCUAACGCGUUAAAUCGACCGCCUGGGGAGUACGGCCGCAAGGUUAAAACUCAAAUGAAUUGACGGGGGCCCGCACAAGCGGUGGAGCAUGUGGUUUAAUUCGAUGCAACGCGAAGAACCUUACCUACUCUUGACAUCCAGAGAAGACUGCAGAGAUGCGGUUGUGCCUUCGGGAGCUCUGAGACAGGUGCUGCAUGGCUGUCGUCAGCUCGUGUUGUGAAAUGUUGGGUUAAGUCCCGCAACGAGCGCAACCCUUAUCCUUUGUUGCCAGCACUUCGGGUGGGAACUCAAGGGAGACUGCCGGUGAUAAACCGGAGGAAGGUGGGGAUGACGUCAAGUCAUCAUGGCCCUUACGAGUAGGGCUACACACGUGCUACAAUGGCGUAUACAAAGAGAAGCGACCUCGCGAGAGCAAGCGGACCUCAUAAAGUACGUCGUAGUCCGGAUUGGAGUCUGCAACUCGACUCCAUGAAGUCGGAAUCGCUAGUAAUCGUAGAUCAGAAUGCUACGGUGAAUACGUUCCCGGGCCUUGUACACACCGCCCGUCACACCAUGGGAGUGGGUUGCAAAAGAAGUAGGUAGCUUAACCUUCGGGAGGGCGCUUACCACUU
rnacentral:rRNA from 1 species